GUGGGGAAUAUUGCACAAUGGGCGAAAGCCUGAUGCAGCCAUGCCGCGUGUGUGAAGAAGGCCCUCGGGUUGUAAAGCACUUUUGUCAGUGAAGAUGCGUUAAAGCUCUAACACAGCCUUAGCGUGACGUUAACUGAAGAAUAAGCACCGGCUAACUCCGUGCCAGCAGCCGCGGUAAUACGGGGGGUGCAAGCGUUAAUCGGAAUGACUGGGCGUAAAGGGCGUGUAGGUGGCGCGUUGCGCAUCUCGUGAAAUCUCAGGGCUUAACCUUGACCUGCGAGGUGUACGGGCGCGCUAGAGUGGCUGAGAGGAAGGUGGAAUUUCAGGUGUAACGUUGAAAUGUUUAGAGAUCUGAAGGAACACCAGUGGCGAAGGCGGCCUUCUGGCAGCAGACUGACACUGAGACGCGAAGGCGCGGGUAGCAAACAGGAUUAGAAACCCUGGUAGUCC
rnacentral:rRNA from 1 species